AGAGUUUGAUCAUGGCUCAGGACGAACGCUGGCGGCGUGCCUAACACAUGCAAGUCGAACGGAGUAACGUUCAACACCGAGUAUUUUAAUGGUGCUGAACCCGACAGCGCAGAUGGAUUUGCGCACAAACAUNGNGNUNGCAAAAAGCGAGGCGACACCGAAAGAAAGUACUGGGUGUUGAACGUUACUUAGUGGCGAACGGGUGAGUAACGCGUAGACAACCUACCUUCCAGAUGGGGACAACACUGCGAAAGUGGUGCUAAUACCGAAUGCGUAACUUGGACUGCAUAGUCGAAGUUAGAAAGGCGGCCUCUAUGUAUAAGCUGCCGCUGGAAGAUGGGUCUGCGUCUGAUUAGCUAGUUGGUGAGGUAACGGCUCACCAAGGCGACGAUCAGUAGCCGGUCUGAGAGGAUGAACGGCCACACUGGGACUGAGACACGGCCCAGACUCCUACGGGAGGCAGCAGUGAGGAAU
rnacentral:rRNA from 1 species